rnacentral:rRNA from 1 species
UACGAAGGGGACUAGCGUUGUUCGGAAUUACUGGGCGUAAAGCGCGCGUAGGUGGUUCGUUAAGUUGGAUGUGAAAGCCCCGGGCUCAACCUGGGAACUGCAUUCAAAACUGACGAGCUAGAGUAUGGUAGAGGGUGGUGGAAUUUCCUGUGUAGCGGUGAAAUGCGUAGAUAUAGGAAGGAACACCAGUGGCGAAGGCGACCACCUGGACUGAUACUGACACUGAGGUGCGAAAGCGUGGGGAGCAAACAGG